rnacentral:rRNA from 1 species
UACAGAGGGUGCGAGCGUUAAUCGGAAUUACUGGGCGUAAAGCGUGCGUAGACGGCUAUCUAAGUCCGGUGUGAAAGCCCAGGGCUCAGCUCUGGAAGUGCACUAGAAACUGGGAAGCUUGAGUACCGGAGGGGAGAGUGGAAUUCCUGGUGUAGCGGUGAAAUGCGUAGAUAUCAGGAGGAAUACCGGUGGCGAAAGCGACUCUCUGGACGGUUACUGACGCUGAGGCACGAAAGCGUGGGGAGCAAACAGG